UGGCCUUGACAUACUAAGAACUUUCCAGAGAUGGAUUGGUGCCUUCGGGAACUUAGAUACAGGUGCUGCAUGGCUGUCGUCAGCUCGUGUCGUGAGAUGUUGGGUUAAGUCCGCAACGAGCGCAACCCUUUUCCUUAUUUGCCAGCGGGUAAUGCCGGGAACUUUAAGGAUACUGCCAGUGACAAACUGGAGGAAGGCGGGGACGACGUCAAGUCAUCAUGGCCCUUACGGCCAGGGCUACACACGUGCUACAAUGGUCGGUACAAAGGGUUGCUACCUCGCGAGAGGAUGCUAAUCUCAAAAAAGCCGAUCGUAGUCCGGAUCGCAGUCUGCAACUCGACUGCGUGUAGUCGGAAUCGCUAGUAAUCGCGGAUCAGAAUGCCGCGGUGAAUACGUUCCCGGGCCUUGUACACACCGCCCGUCACACCAUGGGAGUUUGUUGCACCAGAAGUAGGUAGUCUAACCGCAAGGAGGACGCUUACCACGGUGUGGCCGAUGACUGGGGUGAAGUCGUAACAAGGUAGGCGUAGAUGA
rnacentral:rRNA from 1 species